rnacentral:rRNA from 1 species
UACGGAGGGUGCGAGCGUUGUCCGGAAUCACUGGGCGUAAAGGGCGCGUAGGCGGCCUGAUAAGUAGGGGGUGAAAUCCUGCGGCUUAACCGCAGGGCUGCCUUCUAAACUGUCAGGCUCGAGCACAGUAGAGGCAGGUGGAAUUCCCGGUGUAGCGGUGGAAUGCGUAGAGAUCGGGAAGAACAUCAGUGGCGAAGGCGGGUCUCUGGGCCGAUACUGACGCUGAGGAGCGAAAGCGUGGGGAGCGAACAGG